UAUACAUGUAAAUGUACUUGCCUUUGUAAUUUUGUCAUUCUGUACAUGUAGCUGUGCUUGACUUUCUCAAUGUAUAUUUAUUUGUUCAUUGUCUGUGCUGUCAGUCUGCGUGCACAUGUGGUGAUGGUGUUGGUCUACGGGGCAGUGGCGGCUUGAUGGUUAGGGAGGCAAACUUGGGUCUGGAAUGUUUCAGGUUUGAGUCCACCAGCUGCCACGUUACCUCUGAGGUGCUCUGAGCAUGGCACCGUCCCCACACACUGCUCCCUGGGCGCUCACUUUGGUGAUGGGUUAAAGGUCACAUUUGGUUGUGUGCAGUGGUGUGCUGUGUCACUAUGACAGUAGUUCACUUUCCUUCCUAUACAAGCUCUGGAACUACGGUUUAAUCUGCAGACAGUGACUUAUCUGGUCUGUGUCUCUAGGGCUCCAUAGACCAGAGUUGACUAAAUAUGGUGAAGACAGAUCCUGGUUCAAGGGACCUGAGAUGUUAGACUGGACCUUGUCAAGCAGACACGUGUACAAGACAACUAACAUGAAAACCAGAAGCAGACUUUCAAUGAAGAGCACCAUCAAAUAGACAGGACCCAGGCCCACAACAGCUGAAGUUUCCAUUCUAAUCCCUGCUCAGUUGGAUAUGGAUUUUUGGAGAUUUGGUCUGUGGUCACUGAUGUCAACUACACACUUGAUUCCAGAUUUAUUUUUAUAUUUAUUUGCACUCAGUCAGAAUUUGAGCUGGAUUUCCUUCUCACUACACCACUGUCCUCACUCUUCCUCACCCUUCUUCCCGGUGCUUAAAGAAAUCCAGUCAUUAAUUUUUACUGAGUGUUGUACCAUGGAUAUAGUUUCCAAAAUCAGACAUGGAUCCCUCUGCUUUUGUGGCAAUGGUUUUUCCAUGGUACAUUGCUCUCCAAAACCAACUAGUCAAUGAAGUCCCUUAACACGGAAUGAAUGAAGAUUUGGUCUGUGAUUGUAGUGUUUGUAGUCAUUUCAUCAGUGAUCUUUUGUCCACAUCAAGUAAUUGUACAUGAGAAGCCAUGUUUAUUCAGUUAAUGUUUGUCUUGUUCUUACAGUUGUCCCUGAGUUCUAUUUGUUUAGUUUAUAUUUUAAAAGGCCACUGUUGUAUAUUCCACACAGACGUUUCAUUUAAAAUGUAAUUAACUGCACUUUAAAAGAUAAUGUGUUCAUUAGUAA